ACAUAAAAAAUUAGGAUUUAAAGAUAGUUAAGUUUGAUGAUUUGUAAAGAAAUUUUAUCCUUUCUUGUAAUUUCUUCUCAAAAUAAAACUAUGAUCCCAAAAAAGGGGUUCUAUGAGGAUAUUAAAGGGGAUCGGUGCCAAAGGGGCCUAAGUAAUCGAACAUUUUUGUUGCUCCACCCCAAGAAAGACCUCUAGUAACCCCUCACGAAUUGAAAAACUAAGAAAUCCGAGCCCAGCCCAACAAAGGCUUAUGGUACCAUUUUUUGACCAAUCAACUUCCUUUCCUAUACUUCGUGCCACAUAUGGAAAUUAAAAUAAUUUAUAGGGAAACCAGUCCAUCAUAACAAUUUUAAUAUUUGUUCAUCAUUCUAAUGAAAGAAAACCUCAAUUUUACAAAAGAGUGUAUUGAAUCAUUAUCUUGAUAGUAAAUAACUGCUUCUAAGAAAAAAUCCCAUUUUUAAUUUUCUUAGAAAUGAAACAUAUAUAUAAAUAUGUUAAAACAUAUUCAAAGAAAAAAAGACAGAAAAUAAAAUCAAUAUCAUCAUCAUGGUACUAUAUAUACAUGUUGGUGCUUAUAGUAAACAAACAUCAUCGUCAUUUUCUUCUACUUAUAUCCAUCAGAAAAUAGUAAAAACAAUUCAAUAUUUUUUUAAGAUUUUUUUUGUUUUUCUAAUGUUGAUAUGCAUGUUAAAACUUAUUGAAAAAAGAAAGAUAAAGAAAAAUGAAUACCUAUUAGACGCAAGCUUUUUACAGUCAACAACCAACAUACGAUCGUGUAAUCUCUAGUUUAAUUAAAUUCAUGUUUAGAUGUCGCCACGACGAAAGUAGAUUGAGAUGGUUUCCAAACAUUUUGUUAAUAAUCGGAUUUAGAAGUCAAGAAGAAUUUGGUUGGUGGGGUGUGUUGAAAUUGAAGUGGCGCAUGAAACGGGGUGCUGCAGUUAGUGACAUUUGAUGGUCGCCAUUGACAUUUUAUUGUAAAUUUUGAUGUUGGUGGUGGUAGCAAAAUAAAGCAUCAUCAUCUUCUUUUUGUAUAUAAAUAUUCUUAUAAUGCAAAAUUUCAAAAUGUACAUUUAAUAAAAGAUAUUUCGGAAGGGAAAAAGCUAACUCAGGUAAAGGUAAUUUUUAUGCACAACAUAUUCAAAGGGGAAAAAAAGGUGGGGUAAUGGCAGUUUCUCAAAAAAGCCUCAUGCUCAGAGACAAAACAAAAGAGAGGUAAUUUGCCAAUAUUUUAUGAGAGAAAUAGGGGGGGAAAAAAAUGAAAAUUCAAAGGAUUUUUUUUUAUUUAUGGUAACCCAGUUGAGAAGUUAAAAACUUGCACCCUUGAUGGGUCUGUAAAAAAUGGUGUUUGUUCUGGAUUGGUCUGCAAGCUAUUGUCAUGGACAUUUUGUCCCCCGCGAAGCAAGCUAUAUUUAUAUUAUUGUUAUUGAAAAUAUUUUAUCAUGUGAAAGGCAGAAUUGUGGAAAUUAUUCGCAUUGAGUGCUGCAUCAUUGAUUUGAUUUGAAAAUAUUUUCUAACUCAAUACCAGAAAAUCUUCUCAACUUUAAAAAGUGUCUUAAUCAUGUAACAACAUUGUGACCUUUUUCAUAAUUCAUUCAAAACUUCUUUAUGAAGGUUGAACGUUGAGGAGGGAUGCCUUCGAUCAUCAACACUCAAUGACUCAUGCAGUCUUUAUCUCUUUAAUUAUCAACUAAACUUUCAUGCUAUGUUGAAAUAAUAAGUUUUGAUACGGGAAAAACUAAAACAAGAGAGUUGUAUAAGAAAGGGAAAAAAGAAAUCCUUACUCCUUAGCAAAUUGAGAAUUCUAGAGAUACAAACCUAAAGGAUUUACCUUUUUCAAGUAAAUUUGUGCUUGAGUAAGUGCAUAUGGCUUAUUUAAUGACCAAAAGUGUUUACUUAAUCUCAUAAAUUAUUUUCAAAUUUAUUAUCAUUUGAUUGUAUUUUGAGUAGAGUUUUUGAGAAUUAAAUAAGUUAUUUUGCCUCUAGUAAUUAGUAAGCUCAAAUGUUGGACUUUUGAGGGUUUUAGAGUUUGUUUAAAUAGAUAAAAUUAUCUAUAAUUCCAUUAAUUUAUUUCACAAUCAAAUUUCAUUCAUUUCAUAACAUAAUUUUAAAAUUUUAUCUAUUAAAGUAGUUUUACAAUAUUUAAUAAAAGUUAUCAUUGAUAACCAAACAAUUAAUUUUUUCUUUUUCCUUUUUUUAGGUAAGCACUCUAUUUGUAUACGAUUUAUUAGUAAAAUCUCUACUUAGAUAAGCUCUUUUUAAAAAGAUAUACGAACAAAGUCUAAGUCCCCAGCAUCCUUGUAUGCAAAUCAUAAUUAAAUUACAAUACAAAACCCAAUUUACUAAAUAGUACACAACUAAUUUUCUCUCCUAUAUUAAUCAAAUUAAUGCAAAAAAUUCAAUCAUACUCACGAAUUAUGAAAUUAAUGUUGAAGGGAUCUCAACAUUUGAGUCAUAUGUUAUGUGUCACUAAUUUAUUAAAUAGUAAAUGUAAAAUUUCUUAUUUAUCUAUUCUACCAUCUAAUAGAUAAAUGUCACAUUAUUUGCGACUCAAAUGUUGGGAUCCUUAUUAUCACUUGCUGAAAAAUCACUUUGAAAUAAGCAAAAUGAAAAUGGAGUCUACGUCACCAAUUCUGAAACUAAGGGAAUUUAUAUGACUAUUUAAGUAAAUUUCAGAGUAUGAGUGACCUUUUCCCAAUAUUUAUGCACAUGUGUUACAUUUUUAUAUUUUUGAAAAGAAACAAUAUAUAUGUGCGAAUGUGUGUGCAAGAAAAAAGUAAAAAGUAAUUUUGAUGCGAUGUUAUUUUAUCUCAUCCUUUUUUUUUUCAUUAAGGUUUUUAUUUAGUAGUUAUAACCAAAUCGAUUUUUCUUAAAAAUAAUGGGAUUGGGAAAUUAUCAAAUCUAUCCUUUUCGAAGUCAUCAUGACAAAAAUUAUCAUUUAUUUAUUUAGGCUUAGGGGAUGGAAAUAAAUAGGAGGGACCUAUGUGUUAAGUUUUAGAAACUUAUGGACCCAAAUGGGAUUUUUCCUCUUGUUUCAUUGUUUUCCUUUUUAAAGAAAGUAAGAUUUUAAUCGUUAAGCUAAGUAGUCUACAAAGAAAAAAUGAAUUCCCUUUAGAAAAUAAAUAAAAAAAUUUUGAGCUCCUCAAAGGAAGAAAAUUUUAUUUAGCCCCCUUUUUAUUAUAUUUUUUUAUUUAAGUAUAGAAAAAUUUACUGAAGAAUUUUUAGGUAAUGCAGUUUGGUAGCUACUAAUGUGGCUGGAAAUACUCGUGGGCCUCAAGAAUGUGUAUUUGGGCUACUCUUAACUCACUCGUUCAUGGGCUCCACGGAAAUCCAGUAUAGAGAAUUAGUGAUGCAAUGUGAUUUUGUGGGUCGUGACGCAUAACAAUCAUACAGUCACACAGACAAUUUUUUUUUUCUUUUUUUUUUCCUUCUUUUUGUUUCAAAGCUAGACGAAUGAAAGCACGAAAAUAUUGAUUUUCCCUCAUCUCAUCCGCAAAUAAGCUAUCGUCAUGGGCAAAUUUUGUCUCUCGCAAAAGCAAACUAUAUUUAUAUUAUUUAUUAAAAAUAUUUUAUCAUGUGAAGGGCAGAAUUGUGGUAAUUAUUCACAUUGAGUGCCACAUCAUUGAUUUGAUUAUAUAUAUAUAUAUAUAUAUAUAUAUAUAUAUCAAAUUCCGGUUUUCAUUUUAAUUUUCCAACUCGAUUCCGGAAAAUGUUCGAAACUUUAACAAGUGUCUUAAUCUUGUAACAACAUUGUCACCUUUUUGAUAAUUCAUUCAAAACUUCUCUAUGAAGAUUGAACAUUGAGGAGAGAGAUACCUUCAAUCAUCAACACUCAAUGACUCAUAAAGUCUUUAUCUCUUUUUCAUCUCUUUUUUUUCCCCUUUUCUUUCGUUCAUCUCUUUGGUAUAAAAGAUGCCUUCAAUUGUCACCACCCAUAAAGUCACUACCUUUGUGAUGUUUAAUGUUGAUUCAUUGACGCCAUAUUGCUCACCAAUGUGAACUUUUUAAUUGUCAACUAAACUUUCAUGCCAUGUUGAAUUAUUAUUAUUAUUAUUAUUUUCAGUAGAAGCGAAAACGUAUUGUUGAAGUAAAAACUAGAACAAGAGAGUUUUAAGAAAAGAAAAAAUCUUAGCAAAUUAAAGAAAUCCAAAAAGAACAAAUUCCUUACGAUAUGUAUGUUUCUUAAGUGAUAUUCUAUAUACUUGAGUAAGUCUCAAGCAUCGUCAUACGUACCAAAAUAUUUAAGAGAACAUUUAAAUCCUCUCUCUUUAAUCAAAUUAAUGCAAACAAUUUAAUCAUUUAAUUUAUUGUGAACGCUCUGCGGGGAUUAAAAAAUAGAACUCACAAAGCACGAAAGAUCAGUCAAAGAAUCACUCUCAAAUUAAACCAAAAAUGAUAAUAAUUCUAUGAUUGGAUAAUUGGAGGGAAAAAAAUUCUCAGCAUAAAAGGAAGGAAACAACUCUAAAAUUGAAGCAGGGAAGAUUAAUAUCCUCAAAACCUUUAGCUUCAAUAGAAAUGACUUGAUAUCAUAAUAUACCCCCAUAUGAAAUAUUUUAUCAAAUGUCAUCAAUGAUAUCACCAUCACAUUUCAAAUAUAUAUAAAUUUAUGUGAUCAAUAUUGAAAUGAUUUUGGCCAAAUUCGUUCAAUUUGGAUUCCAUAAUUGACACUUGAUAAAGUGGAUUGCAUAAUGCAUAAUGCAUAUUGCAUAUUGCAAAAACGCCAAAGAUUAAUGAAAAGGACACACGGCUGGACUUGACAACCACCUUGUAGUUAAUUGCACUCAAAUAAUUUGUGUAAGAAAAGAUAUAUUUAAAAGCACAAAUGAAGUUUCCUCCCGAAAAAAGGAAAGGGGAAAAAAACAAAGUUCCUCUAUAAAUGGGGCUGAAACGAGUAGUACGUAGGUGGGUGACUCUUUAUACCUUACGUAUAGAGCUAGAGAAAUUAUUCAUCCAAGAUCUUGGAUUUUUAAAAAAUAAUGAGAAAGUAAUAGUAUAAUGUUAAAAAUACUAUUAUAUUAUAUGGUGUAACAGUUUUUUUAACUUUAAGAAAGUCUAGAAUUUUAAAUCAGAUGAGCUUUCUCUAGUCUAAGAUCUUGGAAACUAUAUAUAUAAAUUUUUCAUUGAAGAUUCUUGCAUUUUAUUAAAGUGCAAGAACGAUUUUCAGAUCAUUGUGAAAUCCUUGUAAACUAUUUCGCAGCGGAACGUAAGUCCAGCACGUACUUUAAUAAAGUGCGAGAACCUUCCUUAGAAAAUCUCUCUCUCUCUCUCUCUCUAUUAGGCAUCACACUUUAAGAAGUUCUAUAUGUAUAUAUAGCCAAUAUCUAGUAGUAGUUCCUUUAGUAUAAUAUGGUAAAGGACAAAUUAAAAGAUAGAAAAAACAAAGAUUUUAAUAUAUUACAAAAAAAAAUACACUGCAUUGAAUUGUAUUUUUUUUUUAAUCUUUUAACUUAUCCCUUAUUUUUAUAAUAUAAGGGAAGGGAUCCCUUCUUGGAAAAUUUAUACAUAUAAACACCAGAUCAACUACGUAUUGGGCUUGGGCAGUCUGAAUUAUUGAGCAUCAUCUUACCGAAUUUGAAUGGUGUGUGUCUGCACACACACACAUGCAGACACAAUAAUGCAAUUUGUUGUGCUCAGCAUUGCAUCAAAUCUUACGCAAGAUUUUUAGACAAUAAUUAGGGUGUUGCUGUUGCCAUUGCUGAUGCCGCAAUUUGGCCACCAACAAAUACCAAUAAGCAAGUUAUAACCAUGUGAUAUAUAUAUUCACCCCCAACUUACCAAAUUAAAAGGAAAUUAAUCUCUCAUUAAUUUUCUUAAGCUCGUCUCUAUUUGACGGUAUUAAAGUUGUCAUAAUUAAUUUGGUUAACUUUAAAUAACAAAUAAAUUGGUAGGGCUAAUUAAUUAUUUCUCUUCAAAAGUCUAAAGGAACUUUCAUUACCCCAGUUGAAACUUCAAGCAAUUGAUAUAUUACAUUUAGGGGGAAAAUUGAUUCUACUUUUGUAUAAGAUAAAGUUUAUGCACUAGUUUAUGGGUGUGUUUGAAAUUGAGGUUGGGCAGCUGUACCUUAAAAGUUACAGUACUAAAGUGUUUGAUAAACACUAUAUGCUGUAACUUGAAAUGUAUGUUUAUAUAAUUUUUUACUUGAAUAAUGAAAAAUCUAUUAUAUUUUUAAUAAUUUUAUCAAAAUUAUUAUUUAAAAUUUACAUUGACUAUAUAUUACUAAUUUUUAUUGCAUAAUUAUAAUUUUUUUUACAGCAAUUAUAACUUAAAAGUUACAGCACUUCAAUCCCAAACGCACCCUAUAUAAUCAUUAAAAAAAAAGUCUUUGUUGAGCUAAGUUGCACUAAAUAAUUUAUAAUAUAUACUUGCAUACAAUUAAGAUUUAAUUACAUAUUACUACUUAUUGAAUAAUUAUCAAUGACAACAACAUAAAAAGACCGACACAGAAUCUAAAUAAAAAAAUAAUAAAGUAUUUCAAAACCGAGAUAAAAUUUGCGGAUAAUUAAUUAAAAUUCCAUGCCCGUGUCAACUUUAUCUUCCUCCCUAAGCAAAAUCCUGAUUCGCCUUUUGAUUAAGAUUCUUUGUCGUUUGUUUAGCAAUUUUUUUUCUUUUUUAAAAUUAGGCUAUAGAUCCGUAGGACAUCACCUACUUAUGAUAAUAAUUUAAAUAGAGUGAUUUACGCACUGAAUUUCUCAUUAGAAAACAGCUUAGACAAUACAUGUGCAUGCAUGUCUUUUUAUUUUUCUUUCGAAUGACUUUUCGAAUGACACAAAAGAUAAUUGCUUAUGAAAAAUGUCGGACUCCAAUCAUUUUCUGUUAAAUGCAGGAUCUAAUUAAUUAAUUUCGUGCACUUCACAUGCAAGUUAUUGCUUUUUUUCCAUAUCAUCCAAUCAAGGGCUACCUUUUUUUUUUUUUUUUCGUUUUUCUUUCUUUCUCUUUUUUUAUUUAAAUUUCCAGUGACACGACCCACGUACGUAGCUAUUUAAUUAAUGCAUUAUUGGUGGUUCGAGGAUCACAAUGUAUAUUGCAUACAGAAAGUCAUUUUCUUCAUGACAAUGACAUUUAAUGUAACGUUUUUGGCCUGCUUUAUGUUAUAUACAUUGAUAUUGACUUAUUAUUUUAAAAAAAAAAUGAUAUUGACUUAUUUUGGAUCACCAUUGUCCAACAAUUAGUAGAAUAAGAAUUGUAAUGGCUUGCCAAACUUCCUGCAUUUUCCCCAACAUGGGGAUGCACAUGAACUGAAAUUAACUCACUAGCUAUAGCUAAAUUAGUCUUCCAUUAUUUCCCAAACGUCAAGACACAUCGAAGCAGCCACUGGGUUUUAUUGUCCGGUGCCCUUAAUAUUUGUUGAAGGUGUGGGUUCAAAGUCCUCAUGAGUAGAUUUCUCCAAAUUUUAUAGUCUCUCUCUAUA
rnacentral:lncRNA from 1 species